CGCAAGGAUUGGAGCGCUCGUGCACAUGCGCCAAUGCAGCGCCGCCCGCCUCCCGCUUCCCUCCUCCCUCCUCCAGCUGGCGCACGCGCCCUUACUGCUCGCACGCGGACGACCGUUGGAAGCGCGAGGCGGUGUCCGUGUGAGGGCUGUGGUGAGCGAGGGCAGCGUCGAGGUUCGGCGCUUCCGUCGGCUCACAGAUCGAGCCGCGCUACCCGCCCCACUGGAAUGAGCUGAGACUGAGCGCUGCGGCCCUUGGCCGGAGGGCAUUCACAACCAGGACAGGCCCGGGAGGUCACAGGCGCGGUUUCCGAGGCGUUGAGUCCCGUGCCAGUAGCAGCAGGGCCGUCGAGGAAAGCCCCUCAGCCUCCACUUGAGCCACUUGCGUGAGGCAGCAGUGGGGUGCUGAACAUUCCUUAUGGAACCGGGCGGUACUGCACGCGUACAGCACGAGGUGGGAGAGCUACACAAAGCCUGAGGUCACCGUCCUUUGGCAGCGGUAACGACAGGUGGCAGUGCUGUGCCUGAGGUGCAGAACGCCGUCUGAGGAACAGCUCUGAUUCCCGCCCCGCCGGGGACGCAGCAGCGGGAACGCAGCGUUUGUACGCACGAACUCCGUGAAGCUGAGGGGCAAGUUUCAUAUUUUAAUCACGAGCUGAUUUCUGCAACAGCACAUCUGCUGGAAUGUGAACAUACACAUCUCUGUGUGUGUGCCAAAAAACUCAGCUACACAGAACUGGCCCUGUGCCACUAACAUUGCUGCAGUCAGACAGCAACCAACUUGAAUUCCUGCUCCUCACAGCCGGAAUGUUGUCCAAAAGGCAAAGAUGCACCAAUGUCUGUUUGAGCCCGGGGUACAGCAGGAACUGGGGAUAAUGAGACAUGUGAGCAGAAGAAGGGUGGGAGGAAUAAAAAAGUGAUUUAAUGGUGCAUGACGUGAAUGGAGAAAAAUACAGUCUAAGAAUAAAUUGCUAAAGAAGAAUAGAAAGCAGAGACACUCAUCUCCCUCCAGCAACGAUGAAAUCUAAGGAUAACAGGAAAUAAAGCAAUUAAGGUCAAGACUGGUAUCAAGCUUCUGUUCAGAUCAGCAUGCUCAUCAGAAUCCAAGCUGCUAAACGAGGGAGAGGGCAGUGAGCAAACAACUGCAUGGUGUUCAGCUGCCUGCCAGUUAAAGCACAGCAAUAAUAGCAGGGGGAAAAGAAGUACCUGACCUGAGAAAGACCCAACUAUCGAUGGCAGAAGGGGAAGUGAAGAUGGCAGAAGUGUGGGAAACCUCACAGCCAGUCAAAGCCAACAACACUGAAUUAAGAUGUCGUUAUCAGCCAUCUGUUCCUGGUCCUGCUCUCAAUUUCUUCCAUCAAAGAAAUAAUUCCAGACAUGAAACACCUCAUUGGAGCAACAAUCACCUGAAACUGCCAGAGUGCUGCAAUGCAACAGUGGGCCUGGCUUGCAGGGAGCAAUUGAAGGAACUUUUUCUGAUAUGCUGGUGUCACCAUAUACAGCAGAAAACAGUUUCAGCUCAAAAUGUUUUUCUCAAGUAAUCUAAAAAGGAAUGUUUCCACUGACACUUCACUCUCCAGCUUAAAUGUUGUUCAUAUGAAUGAUAUACGUCAAGAUUUCCAAAAACUAAAUAUUCCGUUUGGACAAGGUGGUUCUGUUUGUUUUUAAUUAGAGCUCUUUCCCCUCAAGUGUACCCUCAUUAAAAGGAACACAAGCUUAGAGAAAACAUUUAAAAGUUUUCACAGAAAUAUUUUUCAAUAGUGAACAUUUCCCAGAUGUUUUCUGUGAGUCCACACUGAGAUCAUAGAAUGAGUUGAGUCAGAAGGAAGGGACCUUAAUGACUGUCCAGUUCCAACACCUGCCAUUGCCUAAGGCC
ensembl:lncRNA